rnacentral:rRNA from 1 species
GAUGAACGCUGGCGGCGUGCCUAAUACAUGCAAGUCGAGCGAACGGACGAGAAGCUUGCUUCUCUGAUGUUAGCGGCGGACGGGUGAGUAACACGUGGAUAACCUACCUAUAAGACUGGGAUAACUUCGGGAAACCGGAGCUAAUACCGGAUGAUAUUUUGAACCGCAUGGUUCAAAAGUGAAAGACGGUCUUGCUGUCACUUAUAGAUGGAUCCGCGCUGCAUUAGCUAGUUGGUAAGGUAACGGCUUACCAAGGCAACGAUGCAUAGCCGACCUGAGAGGGUGAUCGGCCACACUGGAACUGAGACACGGUCCAGACUCCUACGGGAGGCAGCAGUAGGGAAUCUUCCGCAAUGGGCGAAAGCCUGACGGAGCAACGCCGCGUGAGUGAUGAAGGUCUUCGGAUCGUAAAACUCUGUUAUUAGGGAAGAACAUAUGUGUAAGUAACUGUGCACAUCUUGACGGUACCUAAUCAGAAAGCCACGGCUAACUACGCGCCAGCAGCCGCGGUAAUACGUAGGUGGCAAGCGUUAUCCGGAAUUAUUGGGCGUAAAGCGCGCGUAGGCGGUUUUUUAAGUCUGAUGUGAAAGCCCACGGCUCAACCGUGGAGGGUCAUUGGAAACUGGAAAACUUGAGUGCAGAAGAGGAAAGUGGAAUUCCAUGUGUAGCGGUGAAAUGCGCAGAGAUAUGGAGGAACACCAGUGGCGAAGGCGACUUUCUGGUCUGUAACUGACGCUGAUGUGCGAAAGCGUGGGGAUCAAACAGGAUUAGAUACCCUGGCAGUCCACGCCGUAAACGAUGAGUGCUAAGUGUUAGGGGGUUUCCGCCCCUUAGUGCUGCAGCUAACGCAUUAAGCACUCCGCCUGGGGAGUAUGACCGCAAGGUUGAAACUCAAAGGAAUUGACGGGGACCCGCACAAGCGGUGGAGCAUGUGGUUUAAUUCGAAGCAACGCGAAGAACCUUACCAAAUCUUGACAUCCUUUGACAACUCUAGAGAUAGAGCCUUCCCCUUCGGGGGACAAAGUGACAGGUGGUGCAUGGUUGUCGUCAGCUCGUGUCGUGAGAUGUUGGGUUAAGUCCCGCAACGAGCGCAACCCUUAAGCUUAGUUGCCAUCAUUAAGUUGGGCACUCUAAGUUGACUGCCGGUGACAAACCGGAGGAAGGUGGAGGUGACGUCAAAUCAUCAUGCCCCUUAUGAUUUGGGCUACACACGUGCUACAAUGGACAAUACAAAGGGCAGCGAAACCGCGAGGUCAAGCAAAUCCCAUAAAGUUGUUCUCAGUUCGGAUUGUAGUCUGCAACUCGACUACAUGAAGCUGGAAUCGCUAGUAAUCGUAGAUCAGCAUGCUACGGUGAAUACGUUCCCGGGUCU